UACGUAGGGUGCGAGCGUUAAUCGGAAUUACUGGGCGUAAAGCGUGCGCAGGUGGUUUUGUAAGCCAGGUGUGAAAUCCCCGGGCUCAACCUGGGAAUGGCAUUUGGGACUGCAAGGCUGGAGUGCGGCAGAGGAGACUGGAAUUCCUGGUGUAGCAGUGAAAUGCGUAGAUAUCAGGAGGAACACCGAUGGCGAAGGCAGGUCUCUGGGCUGACACUGACGCUCAUGCACGAAAGCGUGGGGAGCAAACAGG
rnacentral:rRNA from 1 species